GAUGAACGCUGGCGGCGUGCCUAAUACAUGCAAGUCGAGCGAACAGACGAGGAGCUUGCUCCUCUGACGUUAGCGGCGGACGGGUGAGUAACACGUGGAUAACCUACCUAUAAGACUGGGAUAACUUCGGGAAACCGGAGCUAAUACCGGAUAACAUGCUGAACCGCAUGGUUCAACAGUGAAAGACGGUCCUGCUGUCACUUAUAGAUGGAUCCGCGCCGCAUUAGCUAGUUGGUAAGGUAACGGCUUACCAAGGCAACGAUGCGUAGCCGACCUGAGAGGGUGAUCAGCCACACUGGAACUGAGACACGGUCCAGACUCCUACGGGAGGCAGCAGUGGGGAAUAUUCCGCAAUGGGCGAAAGCCUGACGGAGCAACGCCGCGUGAGUGAAGAAGGUCUUCGGAUCGUAAAACUCUGUUAUUAGGGAAGAACAAAUGUGUAAGUAACUAUGCACGUCUUGACGGUACCUAAUCAGAAAGCCACGGCUAACUACGUG
rnacentral:rRNA from 1 species